rnacentral:tRNA from 1 species
GUCCUAGUAGCCCAAAAUUUAAGGCGUCGGUCUUGUAAACCGAAGGCUAGAGGUGAGAUUCCUCUCUAGAACA